GCGCCCGUAGCUCAGUUGGAUAGAGUACUUGGCUUCGAACCAAGGGGUCGGGAGUUCGAAUCUCUCCGGGCGCGCCA
rnacentral:tRNA from 1 species